AGCAGCCGCGGUAAUUCCAGCUCCAAUAGCGUAUAUUAAAGUUGUUGCAGUUAAAAAGCUCGUAGUUGAAUUUCGGGAUCAAUUUAUUGGUCGUGCCAACGGUACGCACUGGUACAAUUGGUUUCUCCCUUCUGACGAAGCAUGAUGUCAUUAACUUGAUGUCGUGGGGAAUCAGGACUGUUACCUUGAAAAAAUUAGAGUGUUUAAAGCAGGCUUUGGCUUGAAUACAUUAGCAUGGAAUAAUGAAAUAGGACGUUUGAUCUUAUUUCGUUGGUUUCUAAGAUCGACGUAAUGAUUAAUAGGGAUAGUUGGGGGCAUUAGUAUUCAAUUGUCAGAGGUGAAAUUCUUGGAUUUAUUGAAGACUAACUACUGCGAAAGCAUUUGCCAAGGAUGUUUUCAUUAAUCAAGAACGAAAGUUAGGGGAUCGAAGACGAUCAGAUACCGUCGUAGUCUUAACCAUAAACUAUGCCGACUAGGGAUCGGAUGAUGUUAAUUUUUUAAUGACUCAUUCGGCGCCUUACG
rnacentral:rRNA from 1 species